AUUCUGGAGGUCGGAUCUGGGCGGAAGGAUGUCAUUUUUAGGAAAUUACAGAAGUAUUUUGGAAAAGAAGAAAAAUUAGAGAUCUGGGAUUCACAAAGAAGAAGAAAAAGAAGAAGAAGAAGACGGUAGAUCUCACGUAAGAGAUAAGAGCCCAAAAAGAGGUAAGCAAAGGUUAAUAGCUACAAGCAAAGGUUAAUAGCUACAAGCAAUGG
rnacentral:misc_RNA from 1 species